AAGCGGCGGAAGCAUCGGAUUUAUUCGAUUGCACCGCGAAGACCUUACCAAGGCUUGACAUACCACCGGAAACGGCCAAGAGAUGGUCGCCCCCCUUGUGGUCGGUGUACAGGUGGUGCAUGGUGUCGUCAAGCUCGGUCGUGAGAUGUUGGGUUAAGUCCCGCAACGAGCGCAACCCUCGUUCUAUGUUGCCAGCGGGUUAUGCCGGGGACUCAUAGGAGACUGCCGGGGUCAACUCGGAGGAAGGUGGGGAUGACGUCAAAUCAUCAUGCCCCUUAUGUCUUGGGCUUCACGCAUGCUACAAUGGCCGGUACAAAGGGCUGCGAUACCGUAAGGUGGAGCGAAUCCCAAAAAGCCGGUCUCAGUUCGGAUUGAGGUCUGCAACUCGACCUCAUGAAGUCGGAGUCGCUAGUAAUCGCAGAUCAGCAACGCUGCGGUGAAUACGUUCCCGGGCCUUGUACACACCGCCCGUCAAGUCAUGAAAGUCGGUAACACCCGAAGCCGGUGGCCUAACCCUUGUGGAAGGAGCCGUCGAAGGUGGGAUCGGUGAUUAGGACUAAGUCGUAACAAGGUAGCCGUACCGGAAGGUGC
rnacentral:rRNA from 1 species